GUCUAUGGCCAUACCACCCUGAACGCACCGAUCUCGUGUGAUCUUGGAAACUAGGCAGGGCCGGGCCUGGUUAGUACUUGGAUGGGAGACAAUACACGCACGUGGCAGGAAAUUUAAAAG
rnacentral:rRNA from 1 species